rnacentral:rRNA from 1 species
AGAAGUUUGAUCCUGGCUCAGAAUGAACGUUGGCGGCGUGGAUUAGGCAUGCGAGUCGCGCGAGAAUGUAGCAAUACAGGAAAGCGGCGAAAGGGAGAGGACAACAUGGGAAUCUGCCCUGGGGGCGAGGAUAGCGUCGGGAAACUGACGGUAAUACUCGAUAAUGUCUGCGGACCAAAGGUGUGAUUCCGCCCCAGGAUGUGCCCAUGUCCCAUUAGCUAGUUGGCGGUGUAAUGGACCACCAAGGCGAUGAUGGGUAGCUGGUGUGAGAGCACGACCAGCCUCACUGGCACUGAGACACUGGCCAGACACCUACGGGUGGCUGCAGUCGAGAAUCUUCGGCAAUGGACGAAAGUCUGACCGAGCGACGCCGCGUGUGGGAUGAAGGUCUUCGGAUUGUAAACCACUGUCGAGGGGAAUCAAAUGCAGGAGGGUCCUCCCUCUUGUUUGAGAGAACCCUGGAGGAAGGGGAGGCUAAGCUCGUGCCAGCAGCCGCGGUAAGACGAGCUCCCCGAACGUUAUUCGGUAUUACUGGGCUUAAAGAGUUCGUAGGCGGCGAAGUAGGUGAGGUGUGAAAGCCCUCGGCUCAACCGAGGAACUGCGCUUCAAACCGCUUUGCUAGAGGGAGAUAGGGGUAAGCGGAACAGAUGGUGGAACGGUGAAAUGUAUUGAUAUCAUCUGGAACACCGGUGGCGAAAGCGGCUUACUG